UUUUUCAGGGUGCUGUCGAUCGGUUUUAUCAACAGACUGUUGUCGCGCAACGUGACGUCGCCUUUCGCCGUUACCAGCUCGCCGUCGAGGGGAAUAUCCAGAUGUAAGCGAGCAUUCACAUCGCCGCCAAUUUGCAACUGCUCAAGAGCGGCGCCGAGCGACUCUUUAAGCGGCGUACCGUCAAAAUACGGCCCCACUGCGUCGCCAGGCCCAGUGAUAUCGGCAUCAAUCAACAGUUUUUCUUUCGAAUAGUCGGGGAUGACCGCUGUCAGAUUGGAGGCUUUUACACCACCCAAAUCGACACCGUCGGUUUUCAUCCACAAGCCGUCGUUAAGGAAAUCCAGCUCGAUAUCCAGAUUGGUCAGCGCAGGCCAGUCCGGCUGGAAAGCGAAUUUGGCGUUACGCAGCGGCAC
rnacentral:ncRNA from 1 species